rnacentral:rRNA from 1 species
AGAUUAAGUUAUUAAGGGCGCACGGUGGAUGCCUUGGCACUAGAAGCCGAUGAAGGACGUUACUAACGACGAUAUGCUUUGGGUAGCUGUAAGUAAGCGUUGAUCCAGAGAUUUCCGAAUGGGGGAACCCAACAUGAGUUAUGUCAUGUUAUCGACAUGUGAAUUCAUAGCAUGUCAGAAGGCAGACCCGGAGAACUGAAACAUCUUAGUACCCGGAGGAAGAGAAAGAAAAAUCGAUUCCCUGAGUAGCGGCGAGCGAAACGGGAAGAGCCCAAACCAACAAGCUUGCUUGUUGGGGUUGUAGGACACUCUAUACGGAGUUACAAAAGAACAUGUUAGACGAAUCAUCUGGAAAGAUGAAUCAAAGAAGGUAAUAAUCCUGUAGUCGAAAACAUAUUCUCUCUUGAGUGGAUCCUGAGUACGACGGAGCACGUGAAAUUCCGUCGGAAUCUGGGAGGACCAUCUCCUAAGGCUAAAUACUCUCUAGUGACCGAUAGUGAACCAGUACCGUGAGGGAAAGGUGAAAAGUACCCCGGAAGGGGAGUGAAAGAGAACUUGAAACCGUGUGCUUACAAGUAGUCAGAGCCCGUUAAUGGGUGAUGGCGUGCCUUUUGUAGAAUGAACCGGCGAGUUACGAUCUGAUGCAAGGUUAAGCAGCAAAUGUGGAGCCGCAGCGAAAGCGAGUCUGAAUAGGGCGUUGAGUAUUUGGUCGUAGACCCGAAACCAGGUGAUCUACCCUUGGUCAGGUUGAAGUUCAGGUAACACUGAAUGGAGGACCGAACCGACUUACGUUGAAAAGUGAGCGGAUGAACUGAGGGUAGCGGAGAAAUUCCAAUCGAACUUGGAGAUAGCUGGUUCUCUCCGAAAUAGCUUUAGGGCUAGCCUCAAGUGAUGAUUAUUGGAGGUAGAGCACUGUUUGGACGAGGGGCCCCUCUCGGGUUACCGAAUUCAGACAAACUCCGAAUGCCAAUUAAUUUAACUUGGGAGUCAGAACAUGGGUGAUAAGGUCCGUGUUCGAAAGGGAAACAGCCCAGACCACCAGCUAAGGUCCCAAAAUAUAUGUUAAGUGGAAAAGGAUGUGGCGUUGCCCAGACAACUAGGAUGUUGGCUUAGAAGCAGCCAUCAUUUAAAGAGUGCGUAAUAGCUCACUAGUCGAGUGACACUGCGCCGAAAAUGUAACGGGGCUAAACAUAUUACCGAAGCUGUGGAUUGUCCUUUGGACAAUGGUAGGAGAGCGUUCUAAGGGCGUCGAAGCAUGAUCGCAAGGACAUGUGGAGCACUUAGAAGUGAGAAUGCCGGUGUGAGUAGCGAAAGACGGGUGAGAAUCCCGUCCACCGAUUGACUAAGGUUUCCAGAGGAAGGCUCGUCCGCUCUGGGUUAGUCGGGUCCUAAGCUGAGGCCGACAGGCGUAGGCGAUGGAUAACAGGUUGAUAUUCCUGUACCACCUAGUAUCGUUUUAAUCGAUGGGGGGACGCAGUAGGAUAGGCGAAGCGUGCUGUUGGAGUGCACGUCCAAGCAGUAAGGCUGAGUGUUAGGCAAAUCCGGCACUCAUAAGGCUGAGCUGUGAUGGGGAGAGGAAAUUGUUUCCUCGAGUCGUUGAUUUCACACUGCCGAGAAAAGCCUCUAGAUAGAUAACAGGUGCCCGUACCGCAAACCGACACAGGUAGUCAAGAUGAGAAUUCUAAGGUGAGCGAGCGAACUCUCGUUAAGGAACUCGGCAAAAUGACCCCGUAACUUCGGGAGAAGGGGUGCUCUUUAGGGUUCACGCCCAGAAGAGCCGCAGUGAAUAGGCCCAAGCGACUGUUUAUCAAAAACACAGGUCUCUGCUAAACCGUAAGGUGAUGUAUAGGGGCUGACGCCUGCCCGGUGCUGGAAGGUUAAGAGGAGUGGUUAGCUUCUGCGAAGCUACGAAUCGAAGCCCCAGUAAACGGCGGCCGUAACUAUAACGGUCCUAAGGUAGCGAAAUUCCUUGUCGGGUAAGUUCCGACCCGCACGAAAGGCGUAACGAUUUGGGCACUGUCUCAACGAGAGACUCGGUGAAAUCAUAGUACCUGUGAAGAUGCAGGUUACCCGCGACAGGACGGAAAGACCCCGUGGAGCUUUACUGUAGCCUGAUAUUGAAAUUCGGCACAGCUUGUACAGGAUAGGUAGGAGCCUUUGAAACGUGAGCGCUAGCUUACGUGGAGGCGUUGGUGGGAUACUACCCUAGCUGUGUUGGCUUUCUAACCCGCACCACUUAUCGUGGUGGGAGACAGUGUCAGGCGGGCAGUUUGACUGGGGCGGUCGCCUCCUAAAAGGUAACGGAGGCGCUCAAAGGUUCCCUCAGAAUGGUUGGAAAUCAUUCAUAGAGUGUAAAGGCAUAAGGGAGCUUGACUGCGAGACCUACAAGUCGAGCAGGGUCGAAAGACGGACUUAGUGAUCCGGUGGUUCCGCAUGGAAGGGCCAUCGCUCAACGGAUAAAAGCUACCCCGGGGAUAACAGGCUUAUCUCCCCCAAGAGUUCACAUCGACGGGGAGGUUUGGCACCUCGAUGUCGGCUCAUCGCAUCCUGGGGCUGUAGUCGGUCCCAAGGGUUGGGCUGUUCGCCCAUUAAAGCGGUACGCGAGCUGGGUUCAGAACGUCGUGAGACAGUUCGGUCCCUAUCCGUCGUGGGCGUAGGAAAUUUGAGAGGAGCUGUCCUUAGUACGAGAGGACCGGGAUGGACAUACCUCUGGUGUACCAGUUGUCGUGCCAACGGCAUAGCUGGGUAGCUAUGUAUGGACGGGAUAAGUGCUGAAAGCAUCUAAGCAUGAAGCCCCCCUCAAGAUGAGAUUUCCCAACUUCGGUUAUAAGAUCCCUCGAAGAUGACGAGGUUAAUAGGUUCGAGGUGGAAGCGUGGUGACACGUGGAGCUGACGAAUACUAAUCGAUCGAAGACUUAAUCAAUUUUUAAA